rnacentral:rRNA from 1 species
CCUACGGGGUGCAGCAGUGGGGAAUAUUGGGCAAUGGGCGCAAGCCUGACCCAGCAACGCCGCGUGAAGGAAGAAGGCGUUCGGGUUGUAAACUUCUUUUCUCAGGGACGAAGCAAGUGACGGUACCUGAGGAAUAAGCCACGGCUAACGACGUGACAGCAGCCGCGGUAAUACUUAGGUGGCAAGCGUUAACCGGAUUUACUGGGUGUAAAGGGCGUGUAGGCGGGACUGCAAGUCAGAUGGGAAAACCACGGGCUCAACCGGUGGCCUGCAUUUGAAAUUGUAGUUCUUGAGUACUGGAGAGGCAGACGGAAUUCCUAGUGUAGCGGUGAAAUGCGUAGAUAUUAGGAGGAACACCAGUGGCGAAGGCAGUCUGCUGGACAGCAACUGACGCUGAGGCGCGAAAGCGUGGGGAGCAAACAGGAUUAGAUACCCCAGUAGUC